rnacentral:rRNA from 1 species
UACGUAGGCAGCAAGCGUUGUUCGGAGUUACUGGGCGUAAAGAGUGCGUAGGUGGUGCCCUAAGUCUGUUGUGAAAUCUCCCGGCUUAACUGGGAGGGUGCGGUGGAAACUGGGGUGCUUGAGUGUGGGAGAGGUAAGCGGAAUUCCUGGUGUAGCGGUGAAAUGCGUAGAGAUCGGGAGGAACAUCAGUUGCGAAGGCGGCUCUCUGGACCAGCACUGACACUGAGGCACGAAAGCGUGGGGAGCAAACAGG